AGAGAUGUGUACAAGGGGUGGUGGUGUAAGGGCGUGCGCGGUGGGUGGUAGUUGGGCAGACAGACAAUAGAUGCCUACUUUACUCCAGUGGAUUCUCCUUAACAGAGCCACGAGAAUAACAACCCAGCCACACUAGCUCCAGAGAGAUUGACGGAUUCAUUGAAUAUCAACAGGAAGAAACGGUGGGAAAAGAAUGACAUCACGUUGACAAGCGCCCAUGUCCCCUCGCCCCUGAGUCCAGCUGGUGAAGCACCAUGCUUUGGCUUUCCCUCCCGCGGAGCGGUGCCGUCCUCCCUGGGUCUGGUCGGAUCUUCGGGAAGCUGGAUCCAGGAAAGCAUUCCAGGAGUGGGAGACCAAGGACCCUAGUGUUCCUCCAGUCAUCAGAGCCAUACCAUUUUGUUGCAUUGGCCGGGAAUCCAAGGUACGACACUCAUCGGAGUGAUGGGUAACAGAUCGUCUUCUCUGCACUCCAACCUGGGUGACAGAAUGAGGCUUCAUCUAAAAAAAUUAAUAUAAUGAAUCACAUUAAUAGAAUAAAGAAGAAAACCCACAUAAUCAUGUAAACGCACAAAAACCACUAUCUGAAAUCCAUUACUUUUCAUGAUAAACUAGGAAUUAAAAGGUGC
rnacentral:lncRNA from 1 species